rnacentral:rRNA from 1 species
UAGGGAAUAUUGGGCAAUGGAUGCAAGUCUGACCCAGCCAUGCCGCGUGCCGGAUGAAGGCCCUCAGGGUUGUAAACGGCUUUUAUUCGGGAAGAAGAGCGGGGAUGCGUCCCUGUGUGACGGUACCGAAUGAAUAAGCACCGGCUAACUCCGUGCCAGCAGCCGCGGUAAUACGGAGGGUGCGAGCGUUGUCCGGAUUUAUUGGGUUUAAAGGGUGCGUAGGUGGCUUGAUAAGUCAGUGGUGAAAUACAGCCGCUCAACGGUUGAGGUGCCAUUGAUACUGUCAAGCUUGAAAGAAUUGGAGGCUGCCGGAAUGGAUGGUGUAGCGGUGAAAUGCAUAGAUAUCAUCCAGAACACCGAUUGCGAAGGCAGGUGGCUACGAUUUAUUUGACACUGAGGCACGAAAGCAUGGGGAGCAAACAGG